UAUUAAGAGGAUUUGAUCCUGGUCCAGGAUGAACGCUGGCGGCGUGGAUAAGGCAUGCAAGUCGAACGGUCAGUUUUUUGAAGAAGUUGAGAUUACAUCAAGACGACGGAUUUGAAUUGAUAGUGGCGAACGAGUUAGUAACACCUUGGUACGUACCUCGAAGUUGAGAAUAGCUCGCCGAAAGGCGGGGUAAUACUCGAUAGUCUCGCAAGAGUAAACCCGCAAGGGGCUUCGAGAUCGGCCUAGGCCCGAUCAGCUAGUUGGUAAGGUAAUGGCUUACCAAGGCUACGACCGGUAGGGGGGGUGAGAGCCCGGUCCCCAACGACGAAACUGAGACACGGUUCGUACACCUACGGGUGGCAGCAGUCGAGAAUAUUCCACAAUGGACGAAAGUCUGAUGGAGCGACGCCGCGUGCAGGAUGAAGGCCUUCGGGUCGUAAACUGCGGUAGUAAGUGACUAAUGUAAAUGAAGAACUUACGGAAAGAGGUGGGUAACUACGUGCCAGCACCAGCGGUAAAACGUAGACCUCAAGCGUUAUCCGGAUUUAUUGGGCGUAAAGAGCAUGUAGGAGGUUUUGCGCGUCUUUUGUUAAAGCUCGGGGCCUAACCCCGAAAGUGCAGGAGAUACGGCAGGACUAGAGGAUGUUAGAGGUACCAGGAACUCACGGUGUAGGGGUGAAAUCCGUUGAUAUCGUGGGGAACACCAAAGGCGAAGGCAAGGUACUGGGACAUUCCUGACUCUGAGAUGCGAAAGCGUGGGGAGCAAAAAGGAUUAGAUACCCUUGUAUUCCACGCCCUAAACGAUGCCUGUUUGCUGUUUCGAGUAUCGACCCUCGGAGUGGCGUAGCUAACGCGUUAAACAGGCCGCCUGGGAAGUACGGCCGCAAGGCUAAAACUCAAAGGAAUAGACGGGGACUCGCACAAGCGGUGGAACAUG
rnacentral:rRNA from 1 species